GCUAUCACCAGAGAUGGUGAGUUCCCUUCGGGGACGCGGUGACAGGUGCUGCAUGGCUGUCGUCAGCUCGUGUCGUGAGAUGUUGGGUUAAGUCCCGCAACGAGCGCAACCCUCGUCCUUAGUUGCCAUCAUUAAGUUGGGCACUCUAAGGAAACCGCCGGUGAUAAGCCGGAGGAAGGUGGGGAUGACGUCAAGUCCUCAUGGCCCUUACACGCUGGGCUACACACGUGCUACAAUGGCGGUGACAGUGGGCGGCGACCUCGCGAGGGGUAGCUAAUCUCCAAAAGCCGUCUCAGUUCGGAUUGUUCUCUGCAACUCGAGAGCAUGAAGGCGGAAUCGCUAGUAAUCGCGGAUCAGCAUGCCGCGGUGAAUACGUUCCCAGGCCUUGUACACACCGCCCGUCACACCAUGGGAGCUGGAUUCACUCGAAGGCGUUGAGCUAACCCGUAAGGGAGGCAGGCGACCACAGUGGGUUUAGCGACUGGGGUGAAGUCGUAACAAGGUAGCCGU
rnacentral:rRNA from 1 species